UGGUCACGCGGUGCACACGUUCUCCAGC
rnacentral:piRNA from 1 species